rnacentral:tRNA from 1 species
GACAUUGUAGCCAAGUGGUUAGGCACGGCCAUCACAAGGCCGGAACGAUGGUUCGAUUCCAUCCAUUGUCU